GGGGGACCUUCUCGCCUCUCUCUAUCGGAUGAGCCCCCAUGGGAUUAUCUAUUAUGCGGGGUAAUGGGCCCCCUAUGCGACAAUCCCCAUCUGGGCUGAGAGGAUGACCCCCCCCACUGUAACUGAGACACGGUCCCCACACCCACAGGAGGCGCCACUGGGGAAUAUUGUGCAAUGUGCGCACACCUGAUGCGCCCCUGCCCCGUGUAUAAAAAAAGCCUUCUGGUUGUAAAGUACUUUUUCCGCGGAGAAAAGCGACAGGGUUAAUAUCCCCGUCUAUUGUGGUUUCCCCCACAAAAAACACCGGCUAACUCUCUGCCCCCACCCGCGGUAUUACAGAGGGUGUGAGCGUUAAUCUCAAUUAUUGGGCGUAUAACGCACACACGCGGUCUGUUAUAUCUCAUAUGAAAACCCCGGGCUUAAACUGUGAACUGCGUUUGAAACAGUGACGCUUGAGUCUCGUGUAGGGGGG
rnacentral:rRNA from 1 species